rnacentral:rRNA from 1 species
GAAACUAACAAGGAUUCCCCUAGUAACGGCGAGUGAAAAGGGAAGAGCCCAAGAUUGAAAGCUGGCGUCUUCGGCGUCCGCAUUGUAAUCUCAAGAAGUGUUUUCCGCUUCGGACCAAGCCUAAGUCCCCUGGAAAGGGGCAUCAUAGAGGGUGAUAAUCCCGUACAUGGCUUGGAGCGCCCGAGGCUUUGUGAUACGCUUUCUAAGAGUCGAGUUGUUUGGGAAUGCAGCUCAAAAUGGGUGGUAAAUGCCAUCUAAGGCUAAAUAUUGGGGAGAGACCGAUAGCGAACAAGUACAGUGAUGGAAAGAUGAAAAGAACUUUGAAAAGAGAGUUAAACAGUACGUGAAAUUGCCAAAAGGGAAGGGUAGGAGGUCAGAGAUGCGGCCUGGGAUUCAGCCUUGCUUUUGCUUGGUGUUUUUCCCAGAUUGCAGGCCAACGUCGGUUUUGGGCACUGGAGAAGGGUAGGAGGAACGUGGCACCCCUCGGGGUGUGUUAUAGCCUCCUACUGGAUACAGCGACCGAGACCGAGGACAGCAGCGUACUCGCAAGAGCGGGCCUUCGGGCACCUUUACGCUUAGGGCGUUGGCAUAAAUGGCCCUCUACCACCCGUCUUGAAACACGGA